UAGUUUCUGCUGUGAGUAGUACAUAGAAGGGGGUAGCUGUGGCUUUCUCUCUUUCUGUGCAGAAUCACUAUAAAGAGAUUUCAUAAGCAUCAUUUUUUAUUCUGGGGUAGCUGGUAAUUGACUGUUCUGGCUCCCCA